AACCUCUCAGGGUCACACCUGGAGAGUUCCCAGUACUCUACCAGUCUCGACUACAGGAGGGAGAGUCAGGCAGAGACAUGCCCAUGCCAUUCCUGGCUUGGGCAGUGGCUAGUGAGUGAAAGGAAAACUGCUACAAGU